UGGUUUUGUAUCCAUAGAGGACAGAGGACAACCGGACUGUCCUCUGUGAUGGCCGCCCUAUCCAGGGGCCCGUUGGACAACGCCAGCUCUCAGUUUGCAUUAGUUUUUUGGAGUAUAGAAAAAUGAUAGAACAGUUUUGCUGCUGCAAAGAAUACAACAGAUCAGAAAGCUUUUCAUGCCUUGAAUCCCUAUUUGAAAUCUCUGGGUUUCUCUUGUGAACGGUGCUAACAUGCUAGCAACAAUCUUGAAAGGAUCCCAAUGCACCCCAGGAUGCCAGCUUGAAAAUCAUUGCUUUACUGUUAAAUAAUUAUUGGGCUAGUUGGUGGAAUAUUUUUUCCAAAAAAAAAUUGCUUGUAAUCCAGUAUUUUUUUUUUAAAUAGGCGCAUCAUGUUUAACAGCUAGCUGCCCCAGUAAUGUGGCUAUGGCACAGUCAACAUUUGAUUUAAAAACCUGCUUGUCAUGUAAUGAAGCUGUUUUCCCAAAUGAUUAAGUGCUAUUACUUUUGCCUAAAGGCUGUUCAGCGUGUGAUUUGAAACCUUUUUCAAAAUGCACUCGUCAGGAGUGUACUUCAAGCUUUUGCUGUUGAAGAAAUGAAUGACAGGAGUGUCAGACUGAAGAAAAGGGAUUUCUGCUCCAGCUCAGCCAGUGAAUCCUUUGGCUACAUGCGAUGUCUUUCCAGGGUCUUGGUGGGACCCAGGGAAGAAGAAAUCCACCUCCUGCUGGAAAACCUCCUCAAAGAACUGCUGCUGCACCUGGUCUGAGUCCAGUCCCCACUGCCUGUGCUCCAUGUUGGCCAGAGAAGAAUGAGAUGGGAGAUCAGGCCCAAGAUAGAGGGUCAACAACAGAAUGUUCUUGAAUGUAUGUCUUUGUUCUACACGCACCGAUAAGCUAGAAGACAGAAAACAAGGAUUGUGAAUUCUCUGGUACUGCACUAACAAUCUGGAAACCACUUAACUACAGAUUUUUCUUCUUUUCAUUUGAA